GUGAUCGAUUCCCAGUGCCAUCCUGAACCACGAGAUUGGAAUAUCGCACCUUUCAACUGCCUGGGCUGAUAAACAAUACAGCAUGUACUCAGCUUCAUAAACACUCUGCCUUGUUACAAAGGGCAUUGCAAACUCGCCGUGAUAGGACUUGACCUUAAAAGCUAUAGACAAUCUAGCGGAGCACAGACGGUUUCAUAAAGUACAAUCACUUCCUGGAAUUCUUGGGCCAGUGCAGUCGGAGCCGUGCAAAUCCUGUUUUCCUUGCAUUGUUUCCUGCAUGUGAAUAUCAUCAGUCUAGCAGUCUCGCUCUGUCGCCAGGCUGGAGUGCAGUGGGGCAAUCUCGGCUUACUGCAACCUCUGCCUCCCGCCUUCAAGCGAUUCUCCUGCCUCAGCGUCCUGAGUAGCUGGGACUACAGGUGCCCACCACCAUGCGCUGUUCAUUUUUGUCUUUUUAGUAGAGACGAGGUUUCACCAUGUUGGCCAGACUGGUCUCAAUCUCUUGACCUCAUGAUCUGCUGGCCUUGGCCUCCCAAAGUGCUGGGAUUAUAGGCGUGAGCCACCGUGCCUGGCCCAUCGAACUGUUUAAUAUAGAUUGUAUGAUGUUUUCAUUAAAAAAGCUGGGCUCAGAAAGGCUGUAUAAAGCCACACAGCCAGCAAGCAGCAGAGUCUGCAUUUUAAUCCACACAUUCAUGGCUUCAAAGCAAUGUAAUUUAACUCUAACAAUGCAAUUGAACUAACAACUGACAUCAGACACAAAUAUUCUGAAGAACCUGGAGAAAUAGAAAAUAAUUGGAUAGAACUGAUGGCUCACGGGCAGAAAUAUAAAUGGCAUUGUUCAGCCAUGAAGCCAUAUAAUUUCAACGUGACUUUCCUUCUCUAUUGUCCUAUCUCAUUGUCUAGCUUGUAAUGUGGUCACAAUCAUGUCACAUGGCUGACUUCCUGCAUAUUUGGUUUCCUCAUGGGAGUUUAGUAAUUCCUGAUUGAUUUAGAGCAAUAAAAUAAACUAAAAUAAAUUCUAGUUUUU